rfam:Ricinus communis cultivar Hale ctg_1100012361221, whole genome shotgun sequence.
ACUCGAUAAUAUGGUCAUUGACGCUGUAAGUCCUUGAACCGCUCCCAUGCCUCAUACAAAGAUUUACCAUGGUGUUGAGUGAAACUUGCAAUCUUUUGUCUAAAUUU